GUCCGUUUCCUGCUGUUUAAUAACACGUGUUUAACUUGUUCUGAGCAGGUUAUUUCCUCACAGUGGAACCAUUCAGGAGCCAGGCCUGCAGGUGGAGUAUCUCCAGGUUCCCAUGGACAGUGCGACCGUUGUGUUGAGUCAGCAUAUCCGGCCAGUGAGAGAGAACUCGCGGGGUGUAUAUUGCCAUGUGUAACAGGGUUGGUGUAAAUCCCCAAGGUGCAGACCGUGGCCCAAGAGACCUUCACUGAAUGAAGCACCUCGUCUGACUUCUGAGAGAAGAGUUAUUCCCGGUCGAAAGGUGGGCAGAAUAGAAGCAGGUGUCUGCCAGACUGUCUCUGCAGGAUCCAAGAUGGCCUCAUUGAUGGCACUGACAAUUUUGGAGGACUAUUGCUGGCCAUGGCAAAGUGGAGCUACUGCCCUCCAAGCCAGAAAAGAGAGAUCCCCAUGAACACCCUGCUGCACAUCUGCUUCUGUCAGCUCGUCUAAUGAGCUCUAUGGUCUGCUGGAGGGAGAAGGAGAGAGAAAAUGUGGAAGUGUGGGGGAAGGGAUGCCAGCAAGCCACAGUAGCCAAGGUUUCCCCAAGUGCUCAGCAGUGGAAUGACGACAAGUUGUUUCUGCAAAGAGAGGGCGUACAGGCCCCAUGCUGGCAAGGAGGGGGUUAAUGAAGGCCUCUGGACCCAACUGGCCCUGUGUCAUUACACUUGCAACAGAUGUCAGGAAUAUUCCAUAAACAGAAAAAAGGAAGAACUGAGACAUUUCCCCUCCAACUGGAAAUGAAUGCAAAUUAGGUGACAACCUGGGAGAGAUCCCACAGAGCACCAGAUGCCCACUUAAGAGAAGGAAAAGUUACAUGUAGGUACAGUUCCUCAGUUAACAUUUUAGCAUCUCUGAAUGGCAAAAAUACAGGGGAAAAAGCUAAAUACCUCACAACGUCCAAAGCCUGGGCAAUAUCAAAUACUACCAUAUCCUGCCCCUCGACAGGGUAGAUUUCCAGCAGAGGUACAGAAUGGUCCAGUUCCUCCAAAACAUUAUCAACAAGCUCUCGUGAAAUAUUUGCAAUAUUAGAGGAAAAUGGUUCGGCAACAGAUAUAGAAGCUUUCAAGUGAGAUGAGGUGCUUUGAGAUGGUUUGCAAGAAACCUAAGACAUAAGAAAUAUAUAGUUACAAAAUGUUUUUAAAAUGUCUAUUUCUUUGUUAGUAUGAUCCUGCAAUCCUGCCACACACACAAUUCUUAACUUUCAUGGGAGUGCCACCUGUGGAACUAAUCCAUACUAUAAAACUAAUUAGUGAAAAUGACAUCUUCCUUUAAUUUUACUUGAAAGCAGUAGUAUGAUUUUAAGAGAAAAUGAUUAGCUUGCUACAGAAUAGGUAAACUGAAAAUUGAGUUAUUUUUUAAUCUAAACACUACAGACAGCUGUAGAGGCCAGUAUUUAAGCCUGUUUAUUACUCAGGGUGAGAAUUUGCUAUUUCAUAUUCUACCUAUCUAGUAUGUCAA